UGUAUAACUCUUGAAUCCCAU
rnacentral:piRNA from 1 species